rnacentral:tRNA from 1 species
AGAAAUAUGUCUGACAAAAGAGCUACUUUGAUAGAGUAGAUAAUAGAGGUUAAAAUCCUCUUAUUUCUAAGACAACGAGCAUAUUUCUA